rnacentral:rRNA from 1 species
CCUACGGGCGGCAGCAGUAGGGAAUAUUGCUCAAUGGGGGAAACCCUGAUGCAGCAACGCCGCGUGAAUGAUGAAGUUUUUCGGUUUGUAAACUCCUUUUGUUAGAGAAGAUAAUGACGGUAUCUGACUAAUAAGCACCGGCUAACUCCGUGCCAGCAGCCGCGGUAAUACGGAGGGUGCAAGCGUUACGCGGAAUCACUGGGCGUAAAGAGAGCGUAGGCGGGAUAGCAAGUCAGAAGUGAAAUGCUAUGGCUUAACCAUAGAACUGCAUUUGAAACUGUUAUUCUAGAGUAUGGGAGAGGUAGGUGGAAUUCCUGGUGUAGGGGUAAAAUGCGUAGAGAUCAAGAGGAACACUCAUUGCGAAGGCGACCUGCUAGACCAUAACUGACGUUGAGGCGCGAAAGCGUGGGGAGCAAACAGGAUUAGAUACCCGGGUAGUC